GAUGAACGCUGGCGGCGUGCCUAAUACAUGCAAGUCGAGCGAACGGACGAGAAGCUUGCUUCUCUGAUGUUAGCGGCGGACGGGUGAGUAACACGUGGAUAACCUACCUAUAAGACUGGGAUAACUUCGGGAAACCGGAGCUAAUACCGGAUAAUAUUUUGAACCGCAUGGUUCAAAAGUGAAAGACGGUCUUGCUGUCACUUAUAGAUGGAUCCGCGCUGCAUUAGCUAGUUGGUAAGGUAACGGCUUACCAAGGAAACGAUGCAUAGCCGACCUGGGAGGGUGAUCGGCCACACUGGAACGGAGACGAGGUCCAGACUCCUACGGGAGGCAGCAGUAGGGAAUCUUCCGCAAUGGGCGAAAGCCUGACGGAGCAACGCCGCGUGAGGGAUGAAGGUCUUCGGAUCGUAAAACUCUGUUAUUAGGGAAGAACAUAUGUGUAAGUAACUGUGCACAUCUUGACGGUACCUAAUCAGAAAGCCACGGCUAACUACGUG
rnacentral:rRNA from 1 species